rnacentral:rRNA from 1 species
GAAUAUUGCACAAUGGGCGCAAGCCUGAUGCAGCAACGCCGCGUGCCCGAGCACGGCCUUCGGGUUGUAAAGGGCUUUUCUGGCUGACGAGGAAGGACGGUAGGCCAGGAAUAAGCGUCGGCUAACUACGUGCCAGCAGCCGCGGUAAAACGUAGGACGCGAGCGUUAUCCGGAUUUACUGGGCGUAAAGCGCGGGCAGGCGGUGGUCCAAGUCGGACGUGAAAGCUCCCGGCUCAACUGGGAGAGGUCGUUCGAAACUGGGCCGCUAGAGGGCAGUAGAGGGGCGUGGAAUUCCGGGUGGAGUGGUGAAAUGCGUAGAGAUCCGGAGGAACACCAGAGGCGAAGGCGGCGCCCUGGGCUGCACCUGACGCUGAGCCGCGAAAGCUAGGGGAGCGAACGG